UGUUGUUUUGUUUUUUGAGACAGAGUCUCACUCUGUCACCCAAGCUGGAGUGCAAUGGCACAAUCAUGGUUCACUGCAGCCCCGACUUACUGGACUCAAGUGAUCCUCCUGCCUUAGCCCCCCAGGUUGCUGGGACUACAGGGUCCUACUCUGUCACCCAGGCUGGGGUGCAGUGGCAUGAUCUCAGCUCACUGUGGCGUCAGCAUCCCAGGCUCAAAUGGUCCUCUCGCCUCAUCCUCCCAAGUAGCUGGGACCACAGAAACCCAAACUGGAGAACAUGUUCAGUGAAGCAACCAGGACUAAAUCAUUUGAAAUGCAUUAGCCAGCACGCGCUCCAAAUUAACUCAACAACAGUCACAUGUGUCUGGGGGAUUCUUCCCUGAAAGGUGGCAUGAGUUGAUUGGACCCCGGGAGUAACGCCGCACAGCAUGGCCCCAGAUCUACUACUAACCACGCACUGCGCAGGGAAGGCUGCUUGUUACUAAGGCCUCUAUGGAAUCAGGGGGAACGGCCAACAAACCAGUGCAGAGCCUGCAAAAGUCAGACAGAAGGAGGAUGAAACAUGAUUUGUUUUUUUCAAGAAGGAAAGACUCAGUUCAUGUGGAAGAGUUUCCUUAAGGAUAAAGGAAGUAUCCAGAACCCACUCUGAGAAAGGGAGAUGGCUUCAUGCUUUCCUCUCCCACUCUCACACCUGCAGGAAAAUCAGAUUUCCUCAUGGUCCUGUCAUUUUCUCAGGCCUGAGAGGAGGGACACUUCCCCCCACACAGCCCCAGUCUCAGUGGCCCU